rnacentral:sRNA from 1 species
GAGUGACUCAGCUUCUGUCUCUCGAGCUGGGCUUUUCCGUCAGGGCCUGUGGCUGGGAUUCUCCUUUGAAAGGUCAGUGUCUGCUUGGGGGUGGGGGCAGGCCAGCACUCAGUGUUUGCUUCCCCAGGCCAGCUGGAGGUGAUCUUGGACCGGCGGCUGAUGCAGGAUGACAACCGGGGCCUAGGCCAAGGGCUCAAGGACAACAAGAGAACCUGCAACCGUUUCCGCCUCCUGCUAGAGCGGCGAACCGUGGGCAGCGAGGUCCAAGAUAGUCACUCUACCAGCUACCCAUCCCUCCUCAGCCACCUGACCUCCAUGUACCUGAACACCCCGGCGCUCGCUCUGCCUGUAGCCAGGACGCAGCUCCCAGGCCCUGGUCUGCGCUCAUUUCAUCCUCUGGCUUCCUCACUGCCCUGUGACUUCCACCUGCUCAACCUACGUACGCUCCAGGCUGAGGAGGACACCCUACCCUCGGCGGAGACCGCACUCAUCUUACACCGCAAGGGUUUUGACUGCGGCCUGGAGGCCAAGAACUUGGGCUUCAACUGCACCACAAGCCAAGGCAAGGUAGCCCUGGGGAGCCUGUUCCAUGGCCUGGAUGUGGUAUUCCUUCAGCCAACCU